rnacentral:rRNA from 1 species
UACGGAGGGUGCAAGCGUUAUCCGGAUUCACUGGGUUUAAAGGGUGCGUAGGCGGGUUGGUAAGUCCGUGGUGAAAUCUCCGAGCUUAACUCGGAAACUGCCAUUGAUACUAUAGAUCUUGAAUUAUCUGGAGGUAAGCGGAAUAUGUCAUGUAGCGGUGAAAUGCUUAGAUAUGACAUAGAACACCAAUUGCGAAGGCAGCUUACUACGGAUCGAUUGACACUGAGGCACGAAAAGCGUGGGGAUCAAAACAGG